rnacentral:misc_RNA from 1 species
AAGUCGUAACAAGGUUUCCGUAGGUGAACCUGCGGAAGGAUCAUUCAUAAUUGAGUGUUUUAUGGCACUCUUUAAAAAAUCCAUAUCCACCUUGUGUGCAACGUUUUUAGACACCCUGGCGCUGAUAUCUCUUUUUAUAAGAGAAGGAAAGCCAGGAUGUUUGAUUAACUUAACUCAACUCCUUUAAAACAGUUUGUCUGAAUACCUAUUUCUGAAUAACAUAAUUCAAAAAUACAACUUUCAACAACGGAUCUCUUGGCUCUC